rnacentral:rRNA from 1 species
GGACCCGCACAAGCGGUGGAUGAUGUGGUUUAAUUCGAUGCAACGCGAAAAACCUUACCUACCCUUGACAUGCCAGGAAUCCUGCAGAGAUGUGGGAGUGCUCGAAAGAGAACCUGGACACAGGUGCUGCAUGGCCGUCGUCAGCUCGUGUCGUGAGAUGUUGGGUUAAGUCCCGCAACGAGCGCAACCCUUGUCAUUAGUUGCUACGAAAGGGCACUCUAAUGAGACUGCCGGUGACAAACCGGAGGAAGGUGGGGAUGACGUCAGGUCCUCAUGGCCCUUAUGGGUAGGGCUACACACGUCAUACAAUGGCUGGUACAGAGGGUUGCCAACCCGCGAGGGGGAGCUAAUCCCAGAAAACCAGUCGUAGUCCGGAUCGCAGUCUGCAACUCGACUGCGUGAAGUCGGAAUCGCUAGUAAUCGCGGAUCAGCUUGCCGCGGUGAAUACGUUCCCGGGUCUUGUACACACCGCCCGUCACACCAUGGGAGCGGGUUCUGCCAGAAGUAGUUAGCCUAACCGCAAGGAGGGCGAUUACCACGGCAGGGUUCGUGACUGGGGUGAAGUCGUAACAAGGUAGCCGUAUCGGAAGGUGCGGCU